rnacentral:lncRNA from 1 species
CUUGUAUUACGUUAUUCUGACAAUGGAAAGAUAAGCUUUUGCAUACGUCUGGAAAAGAAUAUCCUUAAAAUCGGAAUGGGCAAGACAUCCUGAAAUUUAGCAUUGUCUUACAUCCUAUAGAAGAAAUACCUUAGUCUGUCACAGUCAGCAUAUUAUGUCGUACAUUGACUUUUAAGUAUUCAAUAUUCCUUCAGUCAGCAAUAAUCAUGUUAUAAACCUUAUAAAAGCAUAAAAUACAUAUAAACAAGUUAACUAUUUAAUAUUCUUACAUUCCCCUCUUUGAGCAAUAAAACAAUUGCUCAUCUUAUCGAUAAAAUCUUACCAGGACAGAGAAACUUCCACAUGGUAUUUUCAGGGGUGCUAGUCACUCCCUGCGGGACUUUCAUUAAUUUCUUCACCUCGAUUCCCAUGUGGUAAUUCCUAAGGCCCAGUUUAAAAAUGGGUUGAUACUCUACAGUGGCAGAGAGGAGAAUUUCUAAUUGUUUCUGUUCUGCAUUAUGGAUUAAUUUCUGUACUCUCUUCCUCAAUGUACAAGUAAAGUGACAGUUAUAUAAAAUCAUACACAAUAAAAUCAGGACUAUAAUAACAAAAUGAUAGAAGAAUGAUUUCAUUAUCUGAGAUCCAGUAGGGGACCAACCAGUGAAGCAUCGUACCAAUGAUGGGCUAAAUCAUUCUGAAUUUGUGAACUCACCUUAAGGAGUUCUCCUUUUAGGAUAUGUGUGGCUACCUGUGUGUGUUAUCUUUGGGAAAAAUAUAGUCCCCUGUGUAUGUGGGUGCCCACCAGGUUAAAUUCUUGGAGAUCAUAAACUGGUACUGGUAAUGUGUUAAAUUGACAAGCUAAUUUAACAUCCUUUGAUGUUGUAUGAUAUAAUGUAAAAUAGCAUGAGCAUGAAAAAUGUGAAACAUUACCAGUUAACCAUCCAUUGCAUUUACUGGAUUGGGGUUUUAGAAGUAACCAUUCAUUAUCUGUGAGGUUACGCUUUCCUCUAAUCUUCUCUAGUUUAGGAAUCAUUAGUGUGUUUUCUAAUGCCAAUCCUUGUUGUUGUAUCCAUAAAUACCUGAUGGCACAAGUACUCCAGUUACCGAGAUCUGUGGUGAAUUUCAUAGUUGCAACAGUUAAAUUAUCUAAAUAAUUAUACAUUGAUUUAUCUAAAUCCAAUCCUGUAACCUGUGAUUUAACAACAAUUGGAGCCCAAUUUGCAGUAGCAUGAAAACCAGUCCCUAUAUGCAUGCUGGCUGUGUUUAACUUAUUCUUGAGGGUCUCCAUAUCUAUAACUAUUUAGUAUACCCAUAGUGGUUCCAGCACCUCCUAGCAGUGUGUCAUACCAUUCCCUUUUCUGCCUUUGUUUGCUGUGUUACAUAAUGUUACAACAGGAGUAGUGAUUUUUAAUGACACAUGUACAGCUUGUAAGAAGGCAGUUGUAUUAAUACAUGUGGACGGAAUAGGUGUGUGUGUGUCGUUGUUGACUUUUGGUUCUAUGGUAGAGGAUAAAGGACAGUAAUAAGGUGUAAAAAUAUAAGGUAGUGUAUAGUUCUCAAUUGUAGUGUUGUUCAUAAUGACUAACAUUUGUCCCCUUCUCCAAUUAAUGAUACCAGUUAUAUAAUCAUUAUUAAAAGUAAUAAGGCCUGUCUGUUUACAUUGAUAUGCAACCUUAACUGUGCACAUUUCUGCGUUAUAAGAUCUAACAAUUUUCUGUGAACCUUUAAACAAACAUAAUGCAUCGGUUUCAUUAGCUGUAGACACAUUCCAUAUGGGUAACUGGUACUUAUAAGGGUUACUAUUUGUCCAAUUCAUCCAGAUGCGUUCAGUGAAUGAAUGAUUGCAUAUUGCAUGCUGAUAGAAAGGUGGUGGAGAAAGGUUCUUGAGGGGGCGUGUGUGACGAAUGCUAGAUGAGGGGCUAAGGCCUAAUUGGGCUGGGGGUAUUGAAGAAUUGUUCAUCAUGUCAGAGUCUUUUU